GUGGGUAUAGCUCAGUGGUAGAGCACAUGGUUAGCAUGCGCAAGGUCCUGGGUUCAAUCCCCAGUGCUGCCA
rnacentral:tRNA from 1 species